GACGUAGGGCGCGAGCGUUGUCCGGAUUUAUUGGGCGUAAAGAGCUCGUAGGCGGCUUGUCGCGUCGUUCGUGAAAACCCGGGGCUCAACUCCGGGCUUGCGGGCGAUACGGGCAGGCUAGAGUUCGGUAGGGGAGACUGGAAUUCCUGGUGUAGCGGUGAAAUGCGCAGAUAUCAGGAGGAACACCGGUGGCGAAGGCGGGUCUCUGGGCCGAUGACUGACGUGAGGAGCGAAAGCGUGGGGAGCGAACAGG
rnacentral:rRNA from 1 species